rnacentral:rRNA from 1 species
UACGUAGGGGGCAAGCGUUGUCCGGAGUUACUGGGCGUAAAGCGCACGCAGGCGGUCUGUUAAGUUUGGAGUGACAGUUGGUGGCUCAACUACCAAAGUGCUUUGAAAACUGACAGACUUGAGGACUUCAGAGGGACACGGAAUUCCGGGUGGGAGUGGUGAAAUGCGUAGAGAUACCGGAGGAACAACCCGAAGGACGAAAGG